rnacentral:rRNA from 1 species
UACGCAGGCGGCAAGCGUUGUCCGGAGUUAUUGGGCGUAAAGCGCGCGCAGGCGGUGCGGUAAGUCUCUGGUGAAAGCGCUCGGCUUAACUGGGCGAGGGCCGGGGAGACUGCCACGCUGGAGGGGAGCAGAGGCGAGUGGAAUUCCGGGUGUAGUGGUGAAAUGCGUAGAGAUCCGGAGGAACACCAGUGGCGAAGGCGGCUCGCUGGGCUCUACCUGACGCUGAGGCGCGAAAGCGUGGGGAGCGAACCGG